rnacentral:rRNA from 1 species
CCACUAUCCAGCUCAGAAAAGUUAUCUCUCACACAAGGGACUCUCUUGACUCAAGAGGAUAGCACAAAAUACAGAAGCUUGGUAGGAGCUCUUCAAUAUCUUACUCUUACUAGGCCUGAUAUUUCUUUUGCUGUCAACAAAGUAUGUCAGUUCCUUCAUGCACCUACAACUGUUCAUUUGACUGCUGCCAAACGGAUAGUUAGAUAUGUCAAAAACACAUUAAGCAUGGGUCUCAAUUUUAGCAAGUCAUCCUCUACACUUGUCAGUGCAUUCUCUGAUUCUGUUUGGGCAGGUUGUCUUGAUGAUAGACGCUCUACUGGUGGUUUUGCUAUUUUCUUUGGACCCAACUUAAUUUCAUGGUGUGCUCGCAAGCAAGCUACAGUCUCCAGAUCUAGUACAGAGGCAGAAUAUAAAGCGUUGGCAAAUGCCACGGCUGAAAUCAUAUGGGUUCAAUCCAUGUCAAGGAACUUGGUAUAA